rnacentral:rRNA from 1 species
CGAGUGGCGGACGGGUGGAGUAAAGCUUGGGGAAUCUGGUCUUAUGGAAGGGGGGAGUAACUACGGGAAACUGUAGCUAAUACCGCGUAAACAUCUUCGGAUUAAAGUGUGGGGCUCUUCGGACCACACGCCAUAAGUUGAGCCCAAGUGGGAUUAGGUAGUUGGUGGGGUAAAGGCCUACCAAGCUGACGAUCUCUAGCUGGUCUGAGAGGAUGACCAGCCACACUGGAACUGAGACACGGUCCAG